rnacentral:rRNA from 1 species
UACGUAGGGAGCAAGCGUUGUCCGGAAUCAUUGGGCGUAAAGCGCGCGUAGGCGGCCCCGUAAGUCCGCUGUGAAAGUCAAAGGCUCAACCUUUGAAAGCCGGUGGAUACUGUGGGGCUAGAGUACGGAAGAGGCGAGUGGAAUUCCUGGUGUAGCGGUGAAAUGCGCAGAUAUCAGGAAGAACACCCGUGGCGAAGGCGGCUCUCUGGUACGUGACUGACGCUGAGACGCGAAAGCGUGGGGAGCGAACAGG